ACUCAAAUGAAUUGACGGGGGUCCGCACAAGCGGUGGAACAUGUGGUUUAAUUCGACACUACGCGAGGAACCUUACCUGGGUUUGACAUGUACCUGCAAUCGGUGGAGACACUGAGUUCUGUAGAAAUACAGACGAGUACACAGGUGCUGCAUGGCUGUCGUCAGCUCGUGUCGUGAGAUGUUGGGUUAAGUCCUUUAACGAGCGCAACCCCUGUCGUUAGUUGCUAGUUUAUUCAGCACUCUAACGAGACUGCCUGGGAAACCAGGAGGAAGGUGGGGAUGACGUCAAGUCCGCAUGGCCUUUAUGCCCAGGGCGACACACGUGUUACAAUGGCGAGUACAGAGGGGAGCAAAGCAGUGAUGUGGAGCAAAUCCCAGAAAGCUCGUCUAAGUUCGGAUUGAAGUCUGCAACUCGACUUCAUGAAGUUGAAAUCGCUAGUAAUCGCGUAUCAGAACGACGCGGUGAAUACGUUCUCGGACCUUGUACACACCGCCCGU
rnacentral:rRNA from 1 species